UUGAACGCUGGCGGUAGGCUUAACACAUGCAAGUCGUGCGAGAAAGUAUCUUCGGAUAUGAGUAGAGCGGCGGACGGGUGAGUAACGCGUAGGAAUCUACCUAGUAGAAGGGGAUAGCCCGGGGAAACUCGGAUUAAUACCGUAUACCUCCUUCGGGAGAAGAAGGCCUCUCUUUGAAGCUUUCGCUACUAGAUGAGCCUGCGUAAGAUUAGCUUGUUGGUGAGGUAAAGGCUCACCAAGGCGACGAUCUUUAGCUGGUCUGAGAGGACGAUCAGCCACAUUGGUACUGAGACACGGACCAGACUUCUACGGAAGGCAGCAGUAAGGAAUAUUGG
rnacentral:rRNA from 1 species